rnacentral:rRNA from 1 species
CGGCGAGCGGCGGACGGGUGAGUAACGCGUAGGAAUCUGCCCGGUAGCGGGGGAUAGCCCAGAGAAAUUUGGAUUAAUACCGCAUACGCCCUACGGGGGAAAGGAGGGGACUCUUCGGAGCCUUCCACUAUCGGAUGAGCCUGCGUGAGAUUAGCUAGUUGGUGGGGUAAAGGCCUACCAAGGCGACGAUCUCUAGCUGGUCUGAGAGGAUGAUCAGCCACACCGGAACUGAGACACGGUCCGGACUCCUACGGGAGGCAGCAGUGGGGAAUAUUGCACAAUGGGCGAAAGCCUGAUGCAGCCAUGCCGCGUGUGUGAAGAAGGCCUUAGGGUUGUAAAGCACUUUCAGCGAGGAGGAAAGGUUGUCAGUUAAUACCUGGCAGCUGUGACGUUACUCGCAGAAGAAGCACCGGCUAACUCC